ACCAUCGGAAUCUUAUGCUGAUAUCUCCCCUAUGCAGCAAUGUAGCAUGAGUACUUCAAAAUCAGUUACCGAAUCCAUAAAAGUAGUUAAUGAUAUAAUGGCUUCAGUGAUUUCAAACCAAAAUUCUCCAACUCAGUGUAAAAAUGUCAGCAAUGCUAUAUCAAACGAAUAUACGUAUUUAAAAGCUCUUUCACAAAUUUUUGUAACGUUGGAGCAGAUAAAAGCUCAAAAUGAUGUUAUUAUAAGUAA
rnacentral:lncRNA from 1 species